ensembl:lncRNA
CUUUGCUCCAUGAGUGUUUACAGUUUGAUUUGAUUAUUUUUUCAGUGGGAAACUGAUUUCACCUGUCUCUAAGUGGCACACAUCUGAGACUCCAUGCUCUUAUGGUUUAGUUGGAUCUCAGAUAAGUUGAUGAAAAGGAUGAAGCACUGAGCAUUUUCUUUGUGCCCUCUUUUCCCUCUCAUAGUGGCUGACUGUGAAUUACCAUUUCAGAGAAGUGCCGCAGGUUACCAUCUGUUUAUGACAACACAAAUCCAAUAUGUCAUAAACAUGUUCUGGCCUUUACAGUUUUCCCAGCCUGAGGUUGCAGUCUUCAUCUUGGGAUAAUUUAAACAAGUGAGCCAGCUGAUGCUCAGAUCUCCAAGUAACAAAAAAUUAUGGCAAUAUAGCAUAUUGCCAAGUCCUUGUUGUGCUGAACUGGGUAUACGGCAUUAUUAGAGAUGAAGACCGUACCUAUCCUACUGCUCUGUGGUUUUCUACAAAAGAUAAAUAUCUAGUUUAUUGUUUGGUGGUACUGUGGUUAAUUUGUCUCUGUGUAGAAGACUGGCCUAGGUUCCAUGUUUUCAGUGCAUUACAUUUAAUGGGAGCUGUGACAUUUUAAAAUGAAGUACAGAGGCUUAAUACUGGAAUCAACUUCUUGAUGUCCUGGUCCAUCUUACUUAUACCUGUGAUCUGAAAAUGACUGAAGUUUAUAGGUGUCUUUCCAUUGACCAAGUAGCUUUGACAAUACCUUUCUACCUAGAGUAGUCCUGUGAUCAUGACAUGGCUGCUUUUUGACAGCUGAAGAGCUGCUCUGUAUUGAGGUUGUCAACAUUCUCUUUGGAUUAACAUUAAUUAACUUAAGGCUGGUUUUGUUGGGCUCGCUCCAGGUCUUACUGACAGUAUUUUAUGUUGACUGUGUUUGUUAGGUUCUCUCUAUUGUUCCUUUUAAGUGUACGGUAAGUAUUUAGUCUGCAGGAGUGAUGUCCAACCUUUAUGACAGAGGAAUAAUGACUGUUGAUUUAGUAUGUUAAAAUGUACCCUGUUUGUCCCAUGUAACAUAUCAAAAUACAAUCAGAGGAAAGAAAGGAGCUCUUUCUCAUCAGAUAGAAAUUGAUUUGAAUCAUUUAUUUGAGGAAUAUAAAAUACAAUCAUUGACAAAGGAUCAGUAGUCUAGAGGCUAGGGCCCUAGGUCCAGUUUUUAGUUCAGAUACAGGUUUACCUGAGUUGAUUUUUGUCUUAGCACACAGGAAAAAUGUGCUUUUGUAAUUUGAAUCUGAUCUAAGUCAAGAUCUGAAUAAAAACAAGACAGCUUGUAAUUAUUAUAGAAGU